rnacentral:rRNA from 1 species
CCUACGGGUGGCAGCAGUGGGGAAUAUUGGGCAAUGGGCGCAAGCCUGACCCAGCAACGCCGCGUGAAGGAUGAAGGCUUUCGGGUUGUAAACUUCUUUUAUCAGGGACGAACAAAUGACGGUACCUGAUGAAUAAGCCACGGCUAACUACGUGCCAGCAGCCGCGGCAAUACGUAGGUGGCAAGCGUUAUCCGGGUUUACUGGGUGUAAAGGGCGUGUAGGCGGGACUGCAAGUCAGGUGUGAAAACCACGGGCUCAACCUGUGGCCUGCAUUUGAAACUGUAGUUCUUGAGUGCUGGAGAGGCAAUCGGAAUUCCGUGUGUAGCGGUGAAAUGCGUAGAUAUACGGAGGAACACCAGUGGCGAAGGCGGAUUGCUGGACAGUAACUGACGCUGAGGCGCGAAAGCGUGGGGAGCAAACAGGAUUAGAUACCCCAGUAGUC